rnacentral:rRNA from 1 species
UUGAACGCUGGCGGUAGGCUUAACACAUGCAAGUCGUGCGAGAAAGUAUCUUCGGAUAUGAGUAGAGCGGCGGACGGGUGAGUAACGCGUAGGAAUCUACCUAGUAGAAGGGGAUAGCCCGGGGAAACCCGGAUUAAUACCGUAUACCUCCUUCGGGAGAAAGAAGGCCUCUCUUUGAAGCUUUCGCUACUAGAUGAGCCUGCGUAAGAUUAGCUUGUUGGUGAGGUAAUGGCUCACCAAGUCUACGAUGAUUAGGGGGCCUGAGAGGGUGGUCCCCCACACUGGUACUGAGACACGGACCAGACUCCUACGGGAGGCAGCAGUGAGGAAUAUUGG